GAUGAACGCUGGCGGCGUGCCUAAUACAUGCAAGUCGAGCGAACAGACGAGGAGCUUGCUCCUCUGACGUUAGCGGCGGACGGGUGAGUAACACGUGGAUAACCUACCUAUAAGACUGGGAUAACUUCGGGAAACCGGAGCUAAUACCGGAUCAUAUAUUGAACCGCAUGGUUCAAUAGUGAAAGACUGUUUUGCUGUCACUUUAAGAUGGAUCCGCGCCGCAUUAGCUAGUUGGUGAGGUAACGGCUCACCAAGGCGACGAUGCAUAGCCGACGUGAGAGGGGGACCGGCGACAUUGGGAAUGAGACACGGACCAAAAUCCUACGGGAGGCAGCAGUGGGGAAUAUUGCACAAUGGGGGAAAGCCUAAUGCAGCGACGACGCGUGAGCGAAGAAGUAUUUCGGUAUGUAAAGCUCUAUCAGCAGGGAAGAUAAUGACGGUACCUGACUAAGAAGCACCGGCUAAAUACGUG
rnacentral:rRNA from 1 species